UAAUUAUUAUGGGGGAAAUUCUUGAGAAUAGCUAGGAAUCAUUCCCUAGCAUUGUGAAGAUUCUCUCCAUCCUUCUGUAAAAAACUCAAAAAUAUCACUUCUCAAAUA
rfam:Capsicum annuum cultivar Zunla-1 chromosome 1, whole genome shotgun sequence